rnacentral:rRNA from 1 species
UACGUAGGGUGCAAGCGUUAAUCGGAAUUACUGGGCGUAAGCGUGCGCAGGCGGCUUUGCAAGACAGAUGUGAAAUCCCCGGGCUUAACCUGGGAACUGCAUUUGUGACUGCAUGGCUAGAGUGCGGCAGAGGGGGAUGGAAUUCCGCGUGUAGCAGUGAAAUGCGUAGAUAUGCGGAGGAACACCGAUGGCGAAGGCAAUCCCCUGGGCCUGCACUGACGCUCAUGCACGAAAGCGUGGGGAGCAAACAGG